UUGGAGGGCAAGUCUGGUGCCAGCAGCCGCGGUAAUUCCAGCUCCAAUAGCGUAUAUUAAAGUUGUUGCAGUUAAAAAGCUCGUAGUUGAAUUUCGGGAUCAAUAUGUUGGUCGUGCCUCGGUACGUACUAGCAUAUUGGUUUCUCCUUUCUGAAGAACCAUGAUCUCAUUUAUUUGGUGUCGUGGGGAAUCAGGACUGUUACUUUGAAAAAAUUAGAGUGUUUAAAGCAGGCUCACGCUUGAAUACAUUAGCAUGGAAUAAUGAAAUAGGACGUUUGAUUCUAUUUUGUUGGUUUCUAGGAUCGACGUAAUGAUUAAUAGGGAUAGUUGGGGGCAUUAGUAUUCAAUUGUCAGAGGUGAAAUUCUUGGAUUUAUUGAAGACUAACUACUGCGAAAGCAUUUGCCAAGGAUGUUUUCAUUAAUCAAGAACGAAAGUUAGGGGAUCGAAGACGAUCAGAUACCGUCGUAGUCUUAACCAUAAACUAUGCCGACUAGGGAUCGGAUGAUGUUAAUUUUUUAAUGACUCAUUCGGCGCCUUACGGGAAAC
rnacentral:rRNA from 1 species